rnacentral:misc_RNA from 1 species
GAAAUGCGAUAAGUAAUGUGAAUUGCAGAAUUCAGUGAAUCAUCGAAUCUUUGAACGCACCUUGCGCUCCUUGGUAUUCCUUGGAGCAUGCCUGUUUGAGUAUCAUGAAAUCUUCAAAGUAAAUCUUUUGUUAACUCAAUUGGUUUCUACUUUGGUAUUGGAGGUCUUUGCAGCUUCACACCUGCUCCUCUUUGUUCAUUAGCUGGAUCUCAGUGCUAUGCUUGGUUCCACUCGUCGUGAUAAGUUAUCUAUCGCUGAGGACACUGUAAAAGGUGGCCAAGGUAAAUGCAGAUGAACCGCUUCUAAUAGUCCAUUGACUUGGACAAUACUUUUAUGAUCUGAUCUCAAAUCAGGUAGGACUACCCGCUGAACUUAAGC